AUUGAACGCUGGCGGCAGGCCUAACACAUGCAAGUCGAGCGGAGCGGCGGACGGGGAAGUAAUGCCUAGGAAUCUGCCUGGUAGUGGUGGAUGACGUCCGGAAACGGGCGCUAAUACCGCAUACUAUCAGAUGAGGCUCGGUCGGAUUAGCUAGUUGGUGGGGUAAAGGCCUACCAAGGCGACGAUCCGUAACUGGUUUGAGAGGAUGAUCAGCCACACUGGAACUGAGACACGGUCCAGACUCCUACGGGAGGCAGCAGUGGGGAAUAUUGGACAAUGGGCGAAAGCCUGAUCCAGCCAUGCCGCGUGUGUGAAGAAGGUCUUCGGGUUGUAAAGCACUUUAAGUUGGGAAGCGUUACCAGCAGAAUAAGCACCGGCUAACUUCGUGCCAGCAGCCGCGGUAAUUC
rnacentral:rRNA from 1 species